UACGGAGGGUCCAAGCGUUAUCCGGAAUCAUUGGGUUUAAAGGGUCCGUAGGCGGUUUUGUAAGUCAGUGGUGAAAGCCCAUCGCUCAACGGUGGAACGGCCAUUGAUGCUGCAAGACUUGAAUUAUUGGGAAGUAACUAGAAUAGUGUAGUGUAGCGGUGAAAUGCUUAGAGAUUACAUGGAAUACCAAUUGCGAAGGCAGGUUACUACCAAUAUAUUGACGCUGAUGGACGAAAGCGUGGGGAGCGAACAGG
rnacentral:rRNA from 1 species